rnacentral:lncRNA from 1 species
CAAAUCACCCUUUAUGAAAAGUGCUGCGGUUCCCAUGGUGACCUGGCGGUGGAGUGCUCUGCACUUGGGGGUCCUGGGGAUGGACACCCCGGACACAGCAAGUCUGAAACACGAAUGUGGAACACACUGUGCACUCGAUUCUGUGUGCAUCGCAGUUGACAUUCUGUCCCAAAGUGGUGAUGAUCACUAUGUGGAAGACUGACGUGGAGACUUAACAGACUUCUUCCAGGAGAUCGAGGAGAUCAAGGUCACACUCAUUAACAAAUCGAGUCAGUGGCCAUUGGUGAUGCAGAUGUCAUGACAGAACCAGAACUGCUCUUGACUGGGAACCAGGAGAGAGUCUGCUUUAAACCAACCAAACCAGUAAGUUUCUGCCUACCGUUUUUCUUCUGUACUUCACAGGCUAUUGGCGCACUACCUCCUUUUCGGCUCACU